GGGUCCCCCUUAUAUAGGCGGUGGGCUCAACAGACUGAUAGUGACGUUCAUAACCGUCUCGUAGUGGGCUGCCCACCAUCAGGAGAAAUUUGCUGCGAGGAGUAGUGGAGUAGACCCGUGGCCCUCACUGCAGCGCGCCACGUGGAGUCUGCUGCAGGGAGUGGAGCGGCGUCCGUUGUCGCGACUUGCCAGUGGAUGGAAGGAUCGCACAAUAUCCGUUACAGGAGGUGGAGCAGGAUCGUGAGC
rnacentral:lncRNA from 1 species